AGAGCGAACGCUGGCGGCAGGCUUAACACAUGCAAGUCGAGCGGGCGUAGCAAUACGUCAGCGGCAGACGGGUGAGUAACGCGUGGGAACAUACCUUUUGGUUCGGAACAACACAGGGAAACUUGUGCUAAUACCGGAUAAGCCCUUACGGGGAAAGAUUUAUCGCCGAAAGAUUGGCCCGCGUCUGAUUAGCUAGUUGGUAGGGUAAUGGCCUACCAAGGCGACGAUCAGUAGCUGGUCUGAGAGGAUGAUCAGCCACAUUGGGACUGAGACACGGCCCAAACUCCUACGGGAGGCAGCAGUGGGGAUAUUGGACAAUGGGCGCAAGCCUGAUCCAGCCAUGCCGCGUGAGUGAUGAAGGCCCUAGGGUUGUAAAGCUCUUUUGUGCGGGAAGAUAAUGACGGUACCGCAAGAAUAAGCCCCGGCUAACUUCGCGCCAGCAGCCGC
rnacentral:rRNA from 1 species